GGCUUGUUGAUAAUAAUUUCAAGUCUGACCUGCCCACUGAAUUAAAUUAAAUGGCCGCGGUAUAUUGACCGUGCAAAGGUAGCAUAAUUAUUAGUUUUUUAAUUGAAAGAUUGAAUGAAGGGUUUUAUGAGAAAGUUUCUGUCUCUAGAAAAAUUUAUUAGAAUUUUAUUUUUAAGUGAAAAAGCUUAGAUUUUUAUAGAAGACGAGAAGACCCUAUAGAGUUUUAUAUUUAUAUUUUUUAUUUUAACUUUUGUUUAUAAAGUUAAUUUUUAAUUUAAAUAUUUUAUUGGGGUGAUUGAAAAAUUUAAUAAACUUUUUUUUAUUAAAAACAUUGAUUUUUGAGCUAUUGAUCCUAUUUUUUAGAUUAAAAGAUUUAAUUACCUUAGGGAUAACAGCGUAAUUUUUCUUAGAGUUCUUAUCGAAAGAAGGGAUUGCGACCUCGAUGUUGGAUUAAAAUAAAUUGUUGGUGUAGAAGCUAAUAAAUUGAGUCUGUUCGACUUUUAAAAUUUUACAUGAUCUGAGUUUAAACCGGUGUGAG
rnacentral:rRNA from 1 species